rnacentral:rRNA from 1 species
UAGGGGAGCCGGAGGGAAACCGAGUCUUAACCGGGCGUUAAGUUGCAGGGUAUAGACCCGAAACCCGGUGAUCUAGCCAUGGGCAGGUUGAAGGUUGGGUAACACUAACUGGAGGACCGAACCGACUAAUGUUGAAAAAUUAGCGGAUGACCUGUGGCUGGGGGUGAAAGGCCAAUCAAACCGGGAGAUAGCUGGUUCUCCCCGAAAGCUAUUUAGGUAGCGCCUCGUGAAUUCAUCUCCGGGGGUAGAGCACUGUUUCGGCUAGGGGGCCAUCCCGGCUUACCAACCCGAUGCAAACUGCGAAUACCGGAGAAUGUUAUCACGGGAGACACACGGCGGGUGCUAACGUCCGUCGUGAAGAGGGAAACAACCCAGACCGCCAGCUAAGGUCCCAAAGUCAUGGUUAAGUGGGAAACGAUGUGGGAAGGCCCAGACAGCCAGGAUGUUGGCUUAGAAGCAGCCAUCAUUUAAAGAAAGCGUAAUAGCUCACUGGUCGAGUCGGCCUGCGCGGAAGAUGUAACGGGGCUAAACCAUG